rnacentral:rRNA from 1 species
AUUGAACGCUGGCGGCAGGCCUAACACAUGCAAGUCGAACGGUAACAGGAAACAGCUUGCUGUUUCGCUGACGAGUGGCGGACGGGUGAGUAAUGUCUGGGAAACUGCCUGAUGGAGGGGGAUAACUACUGGAAACGGUAGCUAAUACCGCAUAACGUCGCAAGACCAAAGAGGGGGACCUUCGGGCCUCUUGCCAUCGGAUGUGCCCAGAUGGGAUUAGCUAGUAGGUGGGGUAACGGCUCACCUAGGCGACGAUCCCUAGCUGGUCUGAGAGGAUGACCAGCCACACUGGAACUGAGACACGGUCCAGACUCCUACGGGAGGCAGCAGUGGGGAAUAUUGCACAAUGGGCGCAAGCCUGAUGCAGCCAUGCCGCGUGUAUGAAGAAGGCCUUCGGGUUGUAAAGUACUUUCAGCGGGGAUGAAGGGAGUAAGGUUAAUACCUUUGCUCAUUGACGUUACCCGCAGAAGAAGCACCGGCUAACUCCGUG